UACGUAGGUGGCGAGCGUUGUCCGGAUUUACUGGGCGUAAAGCGCGCGCAGGCGGACUGAUCAGUCUGGGGUGAAAUCUCACGGCUCAACUGUGAGCGGUCCCUGGAUACUGUCAGUCUUGAGAUGUCUAGAGGAGAGCGGAAUUCCCGGUGUAGUGGUGGAAUGCGUAGAUAUCGGGAAGAACACCAGUGGCGAAAGCGGCUCUCUGGGGACCAUCUGACGCUGAGGCGCGAAAGCGUGGGGAGCGAACAGG
rnacentral:rRNA from 1 species